ACUUGCCUAGUAUAUAAGUACAUUUGACUUCCAAUCAAAAAGUUUGAAUUUCAAGGAAAGUA
rnacentral:tRNA from 1 species